GAUGAACGCUGGCGGCGUGCCUAAUACAUGCAAGUCGAGCGAACGGACGAGAAGCUUGCUUCUCUGAUGUUAGCGGCGGACGGGUGAGUAACACGUGGAUAACCUACCUAUAAGACUGGGAUAACUUCGGGAAACCGGAGCUAAUACCGGAUAAUAUUUUGAACCGCAUGGUUCAAAAGUGAAAGACGGUCUUGCUGUCACUUAUAGAUGGAUCCGCGCUGCAUUAGCUAGUUGGUAAGGUAACGGCUUACCAAGGCAACGAUGCAUAGCCGACCUGAGAGGGUGAUCGGCCACACUGGAACUGAGACACGGUCCAGACUCCUACGGGAGGCAGCAGUAGGGAAUCUUCCGCAAUGGGCGAAAGCCUGACGGAGCAACGCCGCGUGAGUGAUGAAGGUCUUCGGAUCGUAAAACUCUGUUAUUAGGGAAGAACAUAUGUGUAAGUAACUGUGCACAUCUUGACGGUACCUAAUCAGAAAGCCACGGCUAACUACGUGCCAGCAGCCGCGGUAAUACGUAGGUGGCAAGCGUUAUCCGGAAUUAUUGGGCGUAAAGCGCGCGUAGGCGGUUUUUUAAGUCUGAUGUGAAAGCCCACGGCUCAACCGUGGAGGGUCAUUGGAAACUGGAAAACUUGAGUGCAGAAGAGGGAAGUGGAAUUCCAUGUGUAGCGGUGAAAUGCGCAGAGAUAUGGAGGAACACCAGUGGCGAAGGCGACUUUCUGGUCUGUAACUGACGCUGAUGUGCGAAAGCGUGGGGAUCAAACAGGAUUAGAUACCCUGGUAGUCCACGCCGUAAACGAUGAGUGCUAAGUGUUAGGGGGUUUCCGCCCCUUAGUGCUGCAGCUAACGCAUUAAGCACUCCGCCUGGGGAGUACGACCGCAAGGUUGAAACUCAGAGGAAUUGACGGGGACCCGCACAAGCGGUGGAGCAUGUGGUUUAAUUCGAAGCAACGCGAAGAACCUUACCAAAUCUUGACAUCCUUUGACAACUCUAGAGAUAGAGCCUUCCCCUUCGGGGGACAAAGUGACAGGUGGUGCAUGGUUGUCGUCAGCUCGUGUCGUGAGAUGUUGGGUUAAGUCCCGCAACGAGCGCAACCCUUAAGCUUAGUUGCCAUCAUUAAGUUGGGCACUCUAAGUUGACUGCCGGUGACAAACCGGAGGAAGGUGGGGAUGACGUCGAAUCAUCAUGCCCCUUAUGAUUUGGGCUACACACGUGCUACAAUGGACAAUACAAAGGGCAGCGAAACCGCGAGGUCAAGCAAAUCCCAUAAAGUUGUUCUCAGUUCGGAUUGUAGUCUGCAACUCGACUACAUGAAGCUGGAAUCGCUAGUAAUCGUAGAUCAGCAUGCUACGGUGAAUACGUUCCCGGGUCU
rnacentral:rRNA from 1 species